UUUAACCUGAAAUGCUCGGCAACUCCUGUUAUUUUGAUCCUACAUUUCUUUAAACGGGAUUCCUACAUUAUCAUGUGGAUGUCAGGCCUUAAUCUUUUGAUUCGGAGGAAGGCAGAAAUAUGAUUGCGGUUGCCCACCUAGCGCGAGCUAGGAGUCAAUUACAGGAAUCGGCAUUUUGGGGGUUUA
rnacentral:other from 1 species